CUUAUACUUCCUCUGUCUGAAAAAGCUUGUCCCAAGCUUGUCCCUUAAAUGGAUGUAUCUAGCACUAAUUUGGUGCUAGAUACAUCCAUUUGAGGAACAAGCUUUUUCGGACGGAGGGAGUACUAC
rfam:Triticum aestivum genome assembly, contig: Triticum_aestivum_CS42_TGACv1_scaffold_374241_5AL